AAGCUCGCUCCCGUGGAGGGAGUGAAAAGAGCAAAUGUCUCUUCCAGUGGUAACACUGGUCGAAACCGCAGUAGGAAAGUAAAACUUCCUACACGGUGGACUUGGCUAUAUGCUGGAAAAUCCGUUAAGUAUCCGGCACUACUACUAACAUAGGAGUAAAGACAAUGAAGUAUUUGUUUGAUUACAGAGUGAAGGUCGCGAGUAAGUUCGAGGAGCGUCAAAGAGAAUUUUCUGCGGAAAGUGAUGCACUAGCAUCCAUUGAAUCAGAAAGAAUUCUCCGUAAGGCGCAAGAAGAAUUUCCUUUUGCGCCACCCUCUGUCAAAGGAGUACUCUACCGUCUGGAACCUGUGCAUGAGUGGUGAAAAAGUGACCGGUGCGGACAAUCAGCAGGGAAGUCGUUCCUUCAAGGGAAUUGACCCCUCAGAGACUACAUGCCGAGCCCCAGCAUUUUAAUUCGCGGAUAUCGAGCAAUCGAUGUCCGUAUCUUAAAGUGCUGGGUGAAGAUAUAGUCCGACCUCACGGGCGACCGUGAG
rnacentral:ncRNA from 1 species